rnacentral:rRNA from 1 species
UGGGGAAUAUUGCACAAUGGAGGGAACUCUGAUGCAGCGACGCCGCGUGAACGAAGAAGGCUUUCGAGUCGUAAAGUUCUUUUAUAUGGGAAGAUAAUGACGGUACCAUAAGAAAAAGCCCCGGCUAACUACGUGCCAGCAGCCGCGGUAAUACGUAGGGGGCUAGCGUUAUCCGGAUUUACUGGGCGUAAAGGGUGCGUAGGUGGUCCUUCAAGUCGGUGGUUAAAGGCUACGGCUCAACCGUAGUAAGCCGCCGAAACUGGAGGACUUGAGUGCAGGAGAGGAAAGUGGAAUUCCCAGUGUAGCGGUGAAAUGCGUAGAUAUUGGGAGGAACACCAGUAGCGAAGGCGGCUUACGGGAGCGCAACUGACGCUGAAGCUCGAAGGUGCGGGUAUCGAACAGG